rnacentral:lncRNA from 1 species
UGAAAAUUUUCUAUGUAUACGACAGGUCUGUUGGCGUGCCCGGAAAAAUGUGGUAAUUUGGAGCGUGAUAAUAAUUUAUUACAGUUAAUCAAAAAAUUAAAUAUUAAUAUAUUAGUUUUGAGAUAAUUUGAAAUUAUAGAAAAGAUUUGGAAUAAUAUAUAAUAUUUAAUAAAUAAAAGGAAAGAUUACCUGUUAGAGAAAAAAGAGGAAUUUAAAUAAAGUAUAAAAAUGCUUAAAUU